AUUGAACUCUGGCGGUAGGCCUAACACAUGCAAGUCGAACGAGUGGCGGACGGGUGCGUAAUGUCUGGGAAACUGCCUGAUGGAGGGGGAUAACUACUGGAAACGGUAGCUAAUACCGCAUACCAUCGGAUGUGCCCAGAUGGGAUUAGCUAGUAGGUGGGGUAAAGGCUCACCUAGGCGACGAUCCCUAGCUGGUCUGAGAGGAUGAGCAGGCACACUGGAACUGAGACACGGUGCAGACUGCUACGGGAGGCAGCAGUAGGGAAGAUUGCACAAUGGGCGCAAGCCUGAUGCAGCCAUGCCGCGUGUAUGAAGAAGGCCGUCGGGAUGUAAAGUACUUUCAGCGGGGAGGAGUUGCCUGCAGAAGAAGCACAGGCUAAGUGCGUGCGAGCAGCCGCGGUAAUUA
rnacentral:rRNA from 1 species